rnacentral:rRNA from 1 species
GGGCGCAAGCCUGAUGCAGCCAUGCCGCGUGUGUGAAGAAGGCCUUCGGGUUGUAAAGCACUUUCAGUGGGGAGGAAGGCAUUGUGGUUAAUACCCGCAGUAUUUGACGUUACUCGACAGAAGAAGCACCGGCUAACUCCGUGCCAGCAGCCGCGGUAAUACGGAGGGUGCGAGCGUUAAUCGGAAUUACUGGGCGUAAAGCGCAUGCAGGUGGUUUGUUCAGUCAGAUGUGAAAGCCCGGGGCUCAACCUCGGAAUUGCAUUUGAAACUGGCUUGGCUAGAGUACUGUAGAGGGGGGUAGAAUUUCAGGUGUAGCGGUGAAAUGCGUAGAGAUCUGAAGGAAUACCAGUGGCGAAGGCGGCCCCCUGGACAGAUACUGACACUCAGAUGCGAAAGCGUGGGGAGCAAACAGGAUUAGAUACCCUGGUAGUCCACGCCGUAAACGAUGUCUACUUGGAGGUUGUGGCCUUGAGCCGUGGCUUUCGGAGCUAACGCGUUAAGUAGACCGCCU